UUUAUUAUAUUUUUUUUUACUUCUUCUUUCUGUUAUUCUUUCAGUUUGAAAAUAUCUUCCAACCGCCAUAGAAAACCUAGUAGCCAUCUUGGAAAUCCUUUAACUAUAGCAACUGACUUGAAGAAGCAGGACGUGUUAAUAUAUAGAGGAUCAGUUAAUGAUUCCUUGAAGCUAUACAACAGGAAAAUCUUUCACCCUUAUCAUUACUAUUGACCAACACUCUUGUUUUCUCCACUGCAGACACCCUACCUUCUCAUAGAGAAUGCAAAUAUUCUUCUAUUUUGAUUCAUUUAAUGGAAUGCGGUUUAUGAUUUAUUUAAUAGUUUUUGUUUCUACAUUUUUUUUUUAAUUUUUUUUUUAUCGUGAACGUUAGCCAAUCUUCUAUUGAUAACAGAAAGUCGGGUUACAACAUGAACAUGAAACACCCUCGCGGGCAAUAAGGAAUCAAGCAAAACUACCUACGACUAAACACUAGGUAAUUUCUAUGCUGCAAACCAAAAACAUGGUCACCUCUAAUAGUAACCGAGAACCAAAGUACCGGAAAAUAAAGCAAAGUAAAAGCAAACUAAAAAAUCCUAGAAAAACCUCAUUUAUUCAGAACUAACUUAUUUGAAGAAGAACCAGAAAAACAGCCUAUUCCAAUAAGGUGACUCCAGAAGAGCAACCUACCGGAUGAACGAGACGAAUGCCGAGCAACCUACCAGAUGAACGAGACGAAUGCCCAAGGAAAGUAACAACAGGAGUUUAGAGCCCAAGAAUGAAGGCCCAAUAUCCAAAUCUUCCCAAGCCCAGCUUCCUGAAGAGAUCCAAGCCCAAAUCCUUAGGGCAGCCACCAAGAACAACCUACCCUCUUCUUUCCUGGCCACCGCCAACCUUGCCCAGCAGCUUCCACUCCCUGCGCCUGCAGAAAUCUCAGUCGGAAAGAACUCGACUUUCUCCACCAAUCCGUCAUGGAGAGCAUGCCAACCACCAAUUGGAGAUUCGCUAAACCUCCAUUGAUUCACCACGAACCAACCCCCCGAGCCAGCGACAAGACCAACGCCGUGCCGAACCCGUCGACCCCCUUUUCGUCAAGGGCCGACAACCAACAUCCCGUCGGCGUUGCCACCCAGGCCUAGCACCUCUGUGCCGCCAUCACUGCUCCCACCUUCACCAACAACGCCGAAGUGGGUAAGGAUGAGGAGAAGGAAAAGACAAUCGAACCACAGUCCGAUUGGUGCACGAAGAAGACGAUGGGAAAGAAACCCACAACCUCCAUCAUCUAAAUAACCAGAGGAAGAGGGAGACCCUAAUCUACCAGCAGAAAACCCAGAGCCGCGCCGACGACAAACCCUAGCAGAAGAGAGCUUUUCAUAAGUUUUUUAAUAUGAGACUGUAUUUUUCUAUUACUUAAUAUCUUGCUAAGUUUUUGUUUCUACAUGUUAAACCAUUGGUUUUUUUUCCUUUUCUUUUUGUAGUGAAAUUGGAUUUUGUUUCUUCAGAUCUUAAAUUCUGAUUUUCUCUUCUUUUCUUUUAAUUUGAUUUGUUAUGAAAUUNNNNNNNNNNNNNNNNNNNNGUAGUAGUAGUAUAUAUAUAUAUAUAUAUAUAUAUAUAUAUAUAUAUAUAUAUAUAUAUACAGGAAUUCUCAGGUGCGGACGUCCGCACCAAAGAUUUCCAUUUUUGCACCACUUCCCGAUCGAAUUUCCUCAAACUUCCUUCUAGACAUAUCUAGAUCAUCUUGUGUAGAUUAUCUAUGUAAAAUUUCAGCCAAUUUGAUGAUCUUUAAGACCUUUAAACUUGCGUUUUUCUGUUAUAUGUCUGAAUCGGACAGAAUUAUGUCAGUCGGUUUUGUAACGCAAGUUUGAGGGCUUUAACGAUCACCAAAUUGGCUGAAAUUUUGCAGAGAUGAUCUACACAAGAUGAUCUAGAUAUGUCUAGAAGGAAGUUUGAGGAAAUUCGAUCGGGAAGUGGUGCAAAAAUAGAAAUCCGGACCAAAAUUUUGGUGCGGACGUCCGCAACUGAGAAUUCCUGUAUAUAUAUAUAUAAUAUAUAUAUAUAUAUAUAAAUAUGAAGACUAUAUUUGAAGCCAUAAAUAAAAUAAAAAUAAAAACGAACAAUCCCACAACACUGUAUAACCACCAUGUUGAAGAUUAAAGUGAUUAUCAAAUCUGAUUUGAAAGAUUGAGUAAAAUUAUUUUUUUCUCCGAUAUAAAGAUGUAGAGAAUUGUUGUUGUUUGAAUUUUAUAGAUUUUAGUGUAAUAUUAUAUUUUACAAAAAUUCUUGAUUGUAGGGUUAGUAUUGGAAUUUUUAGUUUAAAAUUAAAAUGUGGGGUGAAAAAAGUAUUUGAUAGGGUGGCAAUAGCCGCACCCUAAAUAAAUUAUGCAAAACUUAUAAUCACUUAAUAUUAAAUUCAAAUAGAACUCGUUCUAUAAUAACUUCAUUUGCAUGCAUCUCAUUUAAAUAAAAAGGUCCACUCACAGAUUUGGGCCUAAGCCCGGCGACAACCAACACGCCCCUCAAGCAUGGCCUCCUCGUAUCCUAACAUAAUAAAGAUGUUUAAAACACCUAAAUUUCGAAGUCUAAUAACUUUAAGAAUAACACCGGAAAAAUCUUUCGUCUAACCCACUACCCUAACUAGGGUUACGCAUAUUGAAUUCUCAACAAACUCCACCCACAAGUUCAUUCCAUCGAUUCUAGCAUUCUAUAACCAACACAAAGGAAAAUCCAAUGGUUGGAUCCUCCGAUUUAUACACGAACAAAAUCAUACUUUGGAAAUUCCCAAAUCUAACCAAAACUCCUCCAAAAUUCACAAACUUAAUACCAUUAGACUCAUCUCAACAACACCUACCUAAACAACCCAAAAAUCGACCCAAAAGAGGCGGCGCCGCCGGCAGUGGCGGCAAGCCACCCAUAUUUCCGACCGACACCAAUGGCUACCAAAAUUUAACACAACGUUUCUCUCAUCAAUCCAAACAACUUUUUCAACUAGCACGAAGAUCAAUUUUAAGUGUAUGGAGGAGAAAUUACCUCAAGAAGCAAAAUCCUCAAAUCCUAUACCCUAGAACUUGGAUUCGUCAAUUCUCUCUCCUUGUUGUAAAUUGAUGGAAAUCCUUUGUAGGGUAAGUAACACAUUGCAAGACGAACACAGCCCAAUUAGUUUCAUCAUCCGAUUUGGCCGGAGUUGGCCGGAAAAUGAAGAAUUUGCCGAAAAGAGGAACAUACCUUCUUCUCUUCGAUUCGUCUCACAUGGUUAGUAAUAGGUUGCAAGACAUAUCUGGUUGGAAAGGUAGUUCAAAGACGAAGAGAAUGGGCCCGGUUUCAUCGCCGGAGGUGGCCAGAAUAGUCGCCGGCGAGGCUGAGAAGUUUGGGCAGCGUGGCAGCAAAAUUCUGGGUUUAUUUUGGAAAUUUCCCGAAAUGGAAAGUCCCUUUUUGCUAUUUAUAGUAUUUCAGUCUCCACCGAAAUUACAGGUAUGCCCCUGACUUCAAACCCUUAUAACUUUUUCGUACCAACUCCGAUUAAAACGUGCCACAUAUCUACGAACUUGGUUUAACGUCCUCUACGACUUUCAUGAGGGAAGUUUUCUCAAAUUUUAAACGUAGAAAAAAGUCAACUCAUGGGUCCAUUAGAAGCUCAAAAAGAAGAGUAAAAGUAAAAACAAUGCUCAUUUACUGGCUAAAUUACAGUAAACGGUCAAAUAAGAGUCAAAUUAGGUCUGGGGCGUUACAGAGCCUCUAACUUAUGUCCAUUUUGUCGAUCAUGUAUAUAAGGCAAAAUUUUAAGAAUGGUACACCAACUUAACCCCAUUAUGCAUUUAUGUAUACCAAAUUACAAAUUAUAAACUUUGGUACAUGAACAUCUAUUCCCGACUAAAGAACCAUACACACUGUUACUAACAGAGUUAGAAUGGGUGUUAGGUGGCGAUUUUCUAGGGGUAAAUCCGUCUGUACCGUCUGCUCUAUUUUUUGUUCCUUUUUUUUUUUUCCUUUCAAUUUUUGCAGAUAACAAUCGUAUAAAAAACACCAAUCCUAUCAAUUACUGUGAUUUUAGAAGAAAAGAUGAGUACUCCCAGCAAGCUGCUGCAUCUUCAAAUGAAGAUUGCUGCCAAAGAUUCCAACCCAGCCACCAAGGGAAAUUCAUGUACUAAUUGCUGAAAUUCAAACACUCAUGAAACGUUGUAAUAGCAAGUGAAGAACUUAAACAAAAUUGUUUAUUGAAUAUGAAAAUGAGCACACAGAAAAGAGUGUACAGCAAAGAAAGAAAGAAACAAAAUUGAAAGGAAGAGAAAACAGCUUGUAUUGUAUUGAAGGUAAUUUUACAAGAUAAUGAUUGAUGCAGACAACAAUGCAAUACAAUCCUUAUAUAUAUAGGACAACAACAAUUUGAUAAGCACUACAGAAAAUAUCCUCUUUGCCAGCUAUGGAGAGGCACGUGAUCCUUUCUUCUUGGUCACGAAUAAGGACCGUUGUGUAUCUGCUGUGAGGUGAUUGGGAGAUAAAGAAUGACUGCAGUACUCAAAAAUGCUCAAGAUCAUCUGUUCAUCUGUGAGCCACGCGCUGGUAGACCAGGGUCAAACUGUUGACUUUGGUCUAGCUUCAAUACUCUCUGAGGCUACACCUUCUUGUUGAUUUAUGCCUUCAUUACCAUAUUCAUCAAGUUCACUGAGUUCUAUCAGCUUAACAGCCCCCCUCAAGCUAGAGCUAGGGUUACCAAGCACUAGAUUGCAACAUAAAUAUUGAAAAUGUGCAGUGCUUAAGCCCUUAGUAAAAAUAUCAGCAAACUGUUCUAGAGAGGGAACAAAUUGCAGAUUAAGCUCUCCCCUAACAACUUUUUCUCUUGUAAAGUGUAUGUCAACCUCCACAUGCUUACACUUGGAUUUAUGAAUAGGAUUAGAAGCAAGAGAAAGAGCAGAAGCAUUGUCACAGUGGAAGAGAGGAGGAAAUGGUAAACUCAUAUAGAUGUCUGAUAGCAGAUGUCUUAACCAAAAGAUUUCACUUGCUGUGUCUGCCAUGGCCCUAUAUUCAGCCUCUGUAGAUGAGCGUGAGACUGAGUGUUGUUUCUUAGAGCACCAAGAAAUGGGACAGUUUCCAAAAUAGAUUACAAACCCAGUUGUUGACCUUCUAUCAUUGGGGUCACUGGCCCAGUUAGCAUCAGAAAAGGCUUUUAGCUCUACUGGAUUGGGAGCUGGUUUAUAUGUCAGGCCAAAAUUCACAGUGCCAAUCAAGUAUCUGAGUAUUCUCUUAACUGCUGCAUAGUGUGAUUCAGUAGGUGCUUGCAUAAACUGACACACAGUGUUAACACUGUAAGCAAUGUCAGGUCUUGAAAAAGUAAGAUAUUGCAGACAUCCCACAAUACUCUUGUAAUGAGUAACAUCUUUAAACAGAGGUCCCUCAUCUCUAAGUAACUUGGCAAAAGGAAGGCAUGGAGUGCUACAACUCUUCUUUCCAGUCAUACCUGCUUUAAUAAGCACCUCAGAGGCAUAUUUGGAUUGAGAAAUGAAAAUGCCUCCUGAUGGUAAGUAUUCAAUCUGCAAUCCCAAAAAAUAGUGUAACAAGCCCAAAUCCUUCAUUUCAAAUUCCAAUUGCAGUGCAAGCUUUAUAACACCAAUUUCAGUCUCUUCAUUCCCAGUUAAUAUGAUAUCAUCAACAUAUAACAGUAGGUAAACCAUGGUGGAUGCAGAUGCUUUAACAAAAAGUGAGGGGUCAGAAUGUGAACAUCUGAAACCCAAGGAUGGAAGGAAGGAGGAGAACCUUUCAUUCCAAGCUCUAGGAGCUUGCUUUAGUCCAUAAAGAGAUUUUACCAGUUUGCAAACAUAGUGAGGAUGAUGAGGGUCUUCAAAACCUUGUGGUUGAGACAUGUAAACUUCUUCCUUUAACACUCCAUGUAGGAAGGCAUUUUUUACAUCCAUCUGAUGAAGUUUCCAGUUAAAUUGUGCUGCAAGAGCAAGGAACAGUCUAACUGUGGUGUGUCUAACAACUGGACUAAAGGUUUCAUCAUAAUCAACACCUUCUUCUUGGCUAAAUCCCAUGUUUGCUUCUAGUUAUCAUUGGAUGAUCCUUGGCAUUCAAAUUAGACAAAGGAAUGAAUGAGGAAAAUUCUCUCAAAAGAUGUUGAUGAUGGUGGUUGAAUGUCCAUAUGGAUGUCUGAAAUUGGAACAUAAGGCUCAUCUGUGUAGGAGACAGGAUUUUCAGCACCUCUGAUGGAAUCAGACUAAGAGGGAUAUGUAUCAAUAUGAUCAAUAAUCAAUGGAUCUUCAGGACCAGCAGUAUUUAGCAACUCAUCUGAAAUUACACAAUUAUCUGAAACAAGAGAGGUACCAGACUGUUCAUGAUCAGAUUGGUGAUCUUCUGGAAACACAGGUUGUUGAAAAGUGAUAGGAGCAGGUGAGAUCUGAUCUUGGACAAGGAGAGGCCUUGAUGAAGGUGUGUGUGAUUCAUGUUGCACUGCAGAUGGAAGAGAGCAAGGGGCUGAAAAGAACUGAGUCACCUGUUCAACAUUAUCAGAAGAAGAAAUAGAAUUUUUCUGAUAGUAAAAAUUAUUGUCAUCAAAAAUGACAUUCCUGGAAAUAAUGGUUUUCUUAGACUCAGGAUUAUAACAAAUAAACCCUUUGUAACCUAAGGCAUAGCCAAGAAACACACAGGGAGCAGUUUUGGGUUGCAGCUUAUUUGAGUUAUAUGGUUUCAGCAGUGGGUAGCAAGUAGCCCCAAAAACUCUAAUAUGAUCAAUGGCAGAAAUUUUUUGGAAAAGAGCCUCAAAAGGUGAUUUCAUGGACAGAUUUGAGCUAGGCAUCCUAUUAAUCAGAUAAACAGCAGCAGCACAGGCAUGGUACCAAAAAAUUACAGGAAGAUGGGCACAGUGCAAUAAAGUAACAGCAGUUUCAACAAUAUGCCUAUUUUUUCUUUCAGCUAGCCCAUUCUGUUGUGGAGUAUAGGGACAUGAAAGCUGAUGAGCAAUGCCAUUUUUAUUCAAAAAAGCUUUAAACAAAUUGCUUGUGAACUCCCCACCCCCAUCUGAUUGAAAGAUUUUAACAGAAGCUGAAUAUUGAUUCAAAAUAAAGGCACAGAAUGUCUAAAACAAAGGUAAAACCUCCUUUUUAUUUCUCAAUGGAAAAAUCCAUGUGUAUCUAGUACAUUCAUCAAUAAUAGUGAAAUAAUAUUUGUAACCCUCAAUUGAUACAGUGGGGGAAGGACCCCAAAGAUCUGAGUGAACAACCUCAAAAGGCUUAGUUGACUUAGUACUAGACACAGGGAAGGGCAACCUUGAAGAUUUUCCAGCUAAACAUGACUCACAAAGAGACUGACAUUGAUCAGAAGAAAGAACAAUGUUGGACUUAGACAAAAUGCUAGACACUAUUGUAUUGGACGGAUGACCUAGCCUCCUGUGCCACAGUGAGUGAGACACUUUAUUUCCAAGAAAGGUUGAGUGUUUACUGACUGUUGUAGGAAGGAACUGAUGUGCAACUUUGACUGGAACAGGAUAGAGCCCCUUUUCACACACACCAUCAUAUAAGACUUUGCCUGUUUCCUUGUCCUGUAUAAGAAAUUCAAAUGCAUCAAAGAUCAAUCUCACACAGUUAUCUUUACAAAUGUUGUAAACAGAUAACAAAUUAGCAGCCAAAUCAGGAACAAAUAAUAUAUUUUUCAGAGAGAGAUUGGUUUUUCCAACUGAGAGGGUAUUUGAACCCUUUUUUGUAAUAGGAAGGCUGUCACCAUUACCAAUUUGCACCGAGUCUGUGGUAUUGUAGGUGGUGAUGUUCUGCAAAUGAUUGAUGUCAGAUGUCAUGUGGUUGGUGGCUCCAGAGUCCAUUAGCCAUACUCCCUCACUAGAAUUAAGGUCACAGGCAAGCAUAGCUGAGUUCCUAGAUUGCUGCUGAUUGAGAUUAGCAUUCCUCCAUCUGCAUGUUUUGGCAAUAUGGCCAGGCUUUUUGCAGAUUUGACAUUCUACUGAUGAGCUAGUAGCUUCUCCAGACUGGUGAGAGUUCCUCUGACUGCACUUGUAGGUUGUAUGACUAUGUUUGUCACAAAUUUGACAAACAACAUUCUUAUAAUAAUUAUUGCCCUUGGAGUUGUUUCCAUUGUUGUGGUUAGUGUUACUUCUACAAUCAGACGAAGGAAACUGUGGAAAUGAGUCACCAUCUUGAGGGCUAAAGUGUCCAAUAAAGGCUGUAUUCUGAGAGUAAGGUGAGAACUGUUGAUUUUCAGAGAAUCCCUGAUUUCCAACUGAGGCCUGCUGAGAAUAAGGUGUGAGCUGGUUUUGAGAAAAACCAUGAUUCAUAGCUGGGGUCUGCUGAACUACAUGCUGAUUAGGAGGUGAAUAAAAUCCCACAGAAGAUUGUGAGCUAUUCAUCAUAUAAGGAGAGGCAUUGACUUGUGAGAAAGGCAUGAUCAUGUUGCUUGGAGCAGUGGAGGUAGUCAUAGCAUUAGGACUGGAUGUAUACAUGUGAGGCAUGGUAGAGACCUGCUGAGUACUGACUAAUGGGUUAAUAAAACCUGUAGAAGCAUGUAUGUGAUUCACUGAUGGAGUACUAAUAGCAGGAUUGGAAAAACUAUGAGAGCCAUACUGAGGUCCAUACCCCACAAAAGUCAUAGUAGAAUUUGGAGCACCAACAUUAUUGUAUCCAUUAACAGUUCCAGGAGCAACAUUAGUAUAGCUAUUAGGAGUGCAAUAAUUAGAUGAUGCAACACAAUUAUCAGGCCAAGGAGAUGCAGCAUUUGAGGCAUUAAAGUUUGAGGGUGCUGCACAGUUUGCAGCCCAUGGAAUAGCAGUGUUGAAGAUGGUAUUACCAAAACUUGGAACACUAGGCAUUGAGGCAUUCUGAUUUUGUGCAACCAUAGCAGAAAAUUGUGACAAAGGUAAAGCUUUUUAUUCAAGUUCAAUCUCACUUUCUGCAGACAACAAUAAUGAUCUGACCUCACCAAGAUCAAUAUUAGGCUUUCCCCUAAUAAUCUGUCUAGUAUGACCAUACUCAAUAGGUAAACCAAUAAGGAUUAAAACUUUAACAUCUUGAUCAGACAUCAUAACUCCAAGCACUGCUAAUUUAUCUCUAACACUCUUGAAUUUAACAUAUAUCUUUCAAUAGAGUCACCUCCUUUUUUGAAUAGCUUGUAACUCAGUCUUAAGCUGCAUAACAUGUGCCUCAGAGACAGAAGCAUACCUUUGCUUGAGCCUGUACCAUACCUCCCUGGAAGAGGUGCAUUCUACAAUCAGUGCAAGAGGCUCAGAUGAGAGAGAGUUGGAAAGGGUGCCAAUGAGAGCACUGUCCUGCUCUUCCCAUUUUUCGAACGCAGCUGUGUUGUCCACCUCAGUCCCAUCAGGGUUGAUAGAGCAAGGUGGUGGACAAGGAAGGGUUCCAUCAACAAUUUUCAGCAAGCUAGCCAUGACUCUUUAGAUGAUAAUGCAUCUGAUAGAGCCACGUAGGAUAGUUGUUCUCCUCAAGGAGCACCGAAAUAACAUUGCAGUUGUUAUUCGAGCGUGCCAUUGAACCAACACUGUGAGGAAAGAGAGAUUUAUCAAACUAAAAACAAGAAAAGACUAGAUCUAAUAGAAUUUAUACCAGAUCUGACUAAUGAGAAAUGAGUAGGUGAACAAAUGAAGUUUAUAGUCUCAGUAGGUGAAGAAAUGAGAUUUUUUGUUGUUGUUGAUAGUGACAAGACAGUGGAAGACAGUGUGAUAAGGCAAUGGUCAGGCCAUAGGCUCUGAUACCAUGCUGAAAUUCAAACACUCAUGAAACGUUGUAAUAGCAAGUGAAGAACUUAAACAGAAUUGUUUACUGAAUAUGAAAAUGAGCACACAGAAAAGAGUAUACAACAAAGAAAGAAAGAAAGAAAGAAAAUUGAAAGGAAGAGAAAACAGCUUGUAUUGUAUUGAAGGUAAUUUUACAAGAUGAUGAUUGAUGCAGACAACAGUGCAAUACAAUCCUUAUAUAUAUAGGACAACAACAAUUGGAUAAGCACUACAGAAAAUAUCCUCUUUGCCAGCUAUGGAGAGGCACGUGAUCCUUUCUUCUUGGUCACGUAUAAGGACCGUUGUGUAUCUGUUGUGAGGUGAUUGGGAGAUAAAGAAUGUCUGCAUUACUCAGAAAUGCUCAAGAUCAUCUGUUCAUCUGUGAGCCACGUGCUGGUUGACCAGGGUCAAAAUGUUGACUUUGGUCUAGCUUCAAUACUCUCUGAGGCUACACCUUCUUGUUGAUUUAUGCCUUCAUUACCAUAUUCAUCAAGUUCACUGAGUUCUAUCAGCUUAACACUAAUGAUUGUCGUCCUACCGGUAAAUGAAGGAAACAUAUUCAUCGAUCAUUUGAUCAAUCUCUUUUAGACGAACUUUCAUAUGUAAACCAUUUGUAUUAUGAGAAUAAUAACAUACGUAUGUAAGAUCCAUUUGUACUAUGAGAUCGAAUACGUAAUAAAUUAAGGGUUUGUCGAUUCCAACAUGACACAAUUUACAAGUAUCGAGAUCGGCUCCACUGAAUUGUCUAAACAGAAUGGCUUUCUUUUCAGAUGAGAUUUGUACAAAAUAAUUUGAGAGACGGGAGAAAAUAUUAGUGCUAGCGUAGUCUCUUACAUAUAUACAGCUCAAAAACAACUAAGAAAGUUGUAUUAUACAGACUUACACAGCAUCGAUCCGUAGAAGAAAUGGGUAAGAGCACAUGUGAAAGUUCCAUCUAGUUGUAUUCAUAUAGAUAGCAGAAUGCAUGAUGGAUCUUGAUAUGCACAGCAGCUCCUGCAGAAGUGCAAAAUCCCCUAUUUUAUUAGAUUAGAAAAUUUAGUAGCAGUAGUUAACCAAAGUUAACUUAUGCAGUUCAGCUCCAAGUACAAUAAUUUAUGAAGUAUCAGCAAGAAUGUAUGUAAAAUUUACCCACCAAAACCACACGUAUAUAUGCAAUCUCAUGCUCUAUCCACAGAAUCUUUCUUUGCAGAUGAAUUAGCUACAGUUCGCUCUUUCAUGGCUUCCUUUUCAAGCUUCUUCUUUUCAAUAUCAGCCAGUCUUUCAUUUUCCUCUCGCGCUUGGUAAACAUCUUGACAAAGAUGAACAACACCUGUGUCACUGCAUUGCGAACAAAAGUCAAAGAUCAAAGUUUAAAAUAUCACACGAUGUAAGAAAAUCAUAAAAGAGACUUCAAAGUACAUUUACAUUAUCUCUCCAAAAUUAGAACUCAAGCAAAUGCAUUGCAUCACUGACUGACAUACACUGAGCAUAUCCCUGUUAAACAGACUUUUGGAUUUCAAUCAUAAAGCCCUAUAUGGGGCAAUAUGGAUGAAAAGAAAUAGAUGGACUCUCUGAAGACUGCAAUACAGCAGGGGUGGAGUACCUUUAAACUAUUAGCUUAUUUGAUUCGGCACUCUAUUUAUGUUGUAUUAGGUUCUUUACCAAAUAUCUUGAUAGUACUCCAGACAAUAAAAAGUUCAUAUGAUGAAUUGGUCCAUGGUGACCCUAGGUGACCUAGUCAAAAGAGUGGACUAAUCAGAAUGGGCAUAAGCUAAAGAAGAUACGGCAUCUAUGUGUCUGGUGUGGUAUAUUCAUGAGCUGAAAGAUCAACGCAAACCUUGUUCAAAAGGACACCGAGAUGGAUCCUCCCCAAAGUAUUGAGACAAAGAAUCUGCGUUUCUUCCCUGCCAGAAAACAGUUGGGUGUUAGGACAGUAGACCAGCAAUAAGCUGCACAGCACCAAAAGAUAUUUUGAUGAAAAGAGAAACUCUGGGAUUGUGAACUGCACUCACCACUUCAGAGUACAAGGAGAUUAGUGACCUAACUUCAGCUUCAGCAGUAUCAAGGAAAUUUUUCAGCACCUGCAAAAAAUUAAGCACAAGAGAAGGAUUUAUAGCAAGAAACAACACAAAUUUGUGUGUGCUAAGGUGCGCGUUUUUUUUUGAAAACUCAAAUUAGGUCAUCUUUCAGGUAUCAAUAAUAGGUCCCUAAAACAAUGUAAGUUGAUCUAGGAUUAGUGAGAUAGUAUUCAAGGAAACUUCCUUCCCUAUCUAAAAUUAAAAUCAAUCUCAAAACUUCACCACCUAAAACGCUAAAGCUACUUAAAAAGAUAAUUGUCUUCUUCCUUAAUUUCAUCUAAAAACUUUACCUCUCCCAGUUCAAUAAUAGGUCAGGAGAAUAAUGAAUGCAUUAUAAGGGACCUUGUGUUUGUUGAAGAAAAAGCCAUUUUUUUUAUAUGAAAUUUCUUACCAAUUUAAAGCCAGCAGAACUGAACUAGCAUACUUUAAUGGAAAAUAUCAGUAUGUUUUUGAAGUUUGAUCACAAGCAAGUUAUUUUGAUUGAUGCAAAAAUAAUGGACUGCAGCAUAAAGCGGUUAUAAUAAGCAUUAAAUUUAUUGGGUCAGCUAUGUACUGUUACUAAGUUAUGAUAACAUGACUAUGAGCCAAUUCUACCAAUAAAAUUCACCUUAGAGGCAGCUUCCAAAUGGAUAAGAUCCCUAUCAAAAUCCAGCAGCUCGGGCAUUUUCUCAGCAAUGAGCUAAUGACAAAAGAAACAAAUAUAUUAAUGUACAAGAAGUUACUGAUAAAGCAAGAAGUCUGUGCAUAGGAGAUAUUAGCAUCAAGAUUCAAAGAUAGCAAUGGAUGGGAAAAUUCUACAAAAGUUUGGAUUUUUAAUUCAAUUACUGAUUUAAGGACCCAAUGCAUGAAUUAUCCAGUCAGAACGCUAAUCUAUCCAAACAAUACAGAACAACUUUAAACCCUCUCAGUGGGUGCUUUAUAUGAAUUAUAUCAUUCGGUGAGAAGAAUCAAACGAAACACAUAGUAAAUAGACCCCAACAAACCAAAUCCUGGUUGAUAUUAACAUCCUUACCUUACACAAAUAGUGCAUUAAAGUCAUUUUGUUGUUUCUUGCAUGAGUAUCAGACAAUUUAAGAAGGCUGUCCAAUUUGAAUCCUAUGGCUGACCCUGAAACAUCAAAAGAAAAAUAUAACCUAGGAAAAACUCAGUGAUAAAGAUAAUUAAACAACAAACACCAACACUAAACGGCACCAUACCUCGAGCAGUGCCUUGAUUUAAGGCAUUUCCCAAAGUAAGAAUUGUCUGCAUUACCUGUCGCAACUUCGCAGAUUCUUUAACCUGUAUGUAUGUCGCAUGUAAGAUGGAGGAGAAAAAUAUGCUCUUAGAGUCUUAGGUACUAGUUCAAUAACCAUCCACUCUCAUGGUACCUCUUUAGUAGCACUAUUGAUGGUAAUCAAAUUUGAUCUUAAGUCUUUCACCUGAUUGGAAUCAAGCAUUAAAUGUUGUUAAUUUAUAUAGAAAAAAAAAACCAUACAUAGAAAAAUAAAGAAAAAAUAAAACCUAGAACAUACCUGACUAGAAAAGGUAAUUUUGAAAGCAAAUACUCGCAACUUGGGUUCUACUCGUGGAACCUUCAUCAACACUAAGAAAAACUGAAGUAAUUACAAGCAGACUGUUAGUUCAGAAAAUCAAAAGACAUGAAUUUCAGCUUAUGGGACUAGAAAGAACCUGUUCACACUUUCCCAGCAUUUCCUUCUCACCCGUAUAGUUCUGGAGAACAAAACACAAUCAGCUAUAAUAAAGAUGGUCUUAACAACCUAUAAAACUAAAAAGCAUCUCCAGAGUUGUUCUCAGUGGUUGUUGACUCUGCCUAGCACCUCUGUGCCGCCAUCACUGCUCCCACCUUCACCAACAACGCCGAAGUGGGUAAGGAUGAGGAGAAGAAAAAGACAAUCGAACCACAGUCCGAUUGGUGCACGAAGAAGACGACGGGAAAGAAACCCACAACCUCCAUCAUCUAAAUAACCAGAGGAAGAGGGAGACCCUAAUCUACCAGCAGAAAACCCAGAGCCGCCGCCGACGGCAAACCCUAGCAGAAGAGAGCUUUUCAUAAGUUUUUUAAUAUGAGACUGUAUUUUUCUAUUACUUAAUAUCUUGCUAAGUUUUUGUUUCUACAUGUUAAACCAUGGUUUUUUUUCUUUUCUUUUUGUAGUGAAAUUGGAUUUUGUUUCUUCAGAUCUUAAAUUCUGAUUUUCUCUUCUUUUCUUUUAAUUUGAUUUGUUAUGAAAUUAAGACUUGCCACAUCAAUUAAUAAUAUGUUUACAUCAUAUUUACAAUUGAUCUAGGCCAUUGAAGAUUUUAAAAUCUAAUGACUAGUAAUUGUUGUCCAAAUUUGGGUCAAAUUUUAUGUCCCUUAGAUGACUCGACCCUAUAUCUGUAGAAUAACUGUAAAUAUUUACUUUCCUUGUUUGUAUAGGUGUAGAAUAUUUUCCUAGUAGUAUUAUGACUGUACCUCUAUAUAAACUCCCUAGUUAACGAUGAAUAAUAAAUUGAAGCAUACCAAACCAUAUAUUGAAUCCUUAUUUUCUACUAUAUACCAACAUUGACCGGCCAUCUAUCAGCAAUUUGAUUAGUUCCAUCCCCAAACCCAAAUACAGUACAUGAUCACCGUUUCAAAUUAGGUUGCCCAAAGUCCGUCGUACGUGAUCGAUUCCAUCAUCACCAAAACAGUUAACCAUGACUGCCGGCAUUCAUAUUGGUUGCCGGCAUUCACCAAAAAAGACUACUCGACUUGGUGAUCUCCCGGACUUGAUAUUGGUUGAAAUCCUUGCUGGACUUGCUUGCAAAUCAACACUAUUUCGAGCCAAGUGCGUCUCCAAGCGUUGGUUGAGUCUCCUCUCUGACCCUUAUUUUGUUAGGACCUUUCUGAGUGUCCAAGGUGUUGACGAAGGAAACGCCUUUCUAGGUGCAGGUAUUCUUUUUGUUUUGCCCUACCCUAACAACGAGAGCCUAUUCGGCGCACCCGUCAUCUCCACCGUUAAUUUUUUUUUUUUUUUUUUUGGUUGGGUCAAAAUGGACGGUGGAUACACCCGGGUGCGCUGUAUAAUUUUCACCCUAACAACAACAACAACAACAACCUCCAACCCGAACUUAAAGUCGUUGCGCAUCCGGUGGUGAAAACCAGGGAAAGCCAAUAUUUCUCUCUGGAUUUCCUGCCAUGUAUUCAACAAGAGAAAGAACGACAUGUUCAUCUAGAAUUGGUGGCAACAUAUAAUGAUUUGGUUUUGUGCUGCAAAACCUACACAAUUUACGACGACGAGGAUAUGGAGUCUUACUUGAUCCACAAUCCCUACUACAUCUGUAAUCCAUACACCAAGAAGUGGCUUGCACUCCCUCCCGGCAACCAUCUUCGAGUCCCUUCCAGCUGCACAACAUAUGUGGGAUUCAUCUGCGAGCCCUACUUUAAGCAGCAGCAUUCAGAACAAGCUAGUUCAAAGAUCACUCUUAAUGCGGAGUAUAGAUGGAGCGUUGUGCAAAUGUUGAUUCCUCUUGAGCCAUCCAUGCAUCAAUUACGAAUGGACAUCUUCUCCUCCGAGACUGGACAGUGGAGGCCAUUGGUUNNNNNNNNNNNNNNNNNNNNAGUGAAAUUGGAUUUUGUUUCUUCAGAUCUUAAAUUCUGAUUUUCUCUUCUUUUCUUUUAAUUUGAUUUGUUAUGAAAUUAAGACUUGCCACAUCAAUUAAUAAUAUGUUGAUAUCAUAUUUACAAUUGAUCUAGGCCAUUGAAGAUUUUAAAAUCUAAUGACUCGUAAUUGUUGUCCAAAUUUGGGUCAAAUUUUAUGUCCCUUAGACAACUCGACCCUAUAUCUGUAGAAUAACUGUAAAUAUUUACUUUCCUUGUUUGUAUAGGUGUAGAAU
rnacentral:lncRNA from 1 species